ACUAAAACAUGUCAAAUUUAACUUAAAAACAAUUUUUGAUAGCCUCUAACUAAUAUAUUUAAGGAAGUGUUUUUCUCUGCAGUAGCUACAACAACAAUGCUAAACAGACCUUAUGCCUCCUCCCUCACUCCUUUGGGAAUAUAUAGAUAAAAUGGAUGGACUAUUUCAACUUUCUCAAACUACAAUGGCUUUAACUUUUCAGAAUCUACAACUUUCUGUUCAUCUUCCUGGGAUUCAAUCAGAGAGAGAGAGAGAGAGAGCG
rnacentral:misc_RNA from 1 species